rnacentral:rRNA from 1 species
AUUGAACGCUGGCGGCAUGCCUUACACGUGCAAGUCGAACGGCAGCGGACCUUCGGGUGCCGGCGAGUGGCGAACGGGUGAGUAAUAUAUCGGAACGUACCUUUCAGUGGGGGAUAACGUAGCGAAAGUUACGCUAAUACCGCAUAUUCUGUGAGCAGGAAAGCAGGGGAUCGCAAGACCUUGCGCUGAUUGAGCGGCCGAUAUCAGAUUAGCUAGUUGGUGAGGUAAAGGCUCACCAAGGCGACGAUCUGUAGCGGGUCUGAGAGGAUGAUCCGCCACACUGGAACUGAGACACGGUCCAGACUCCUACGGGAGGCAGCAGUGGGGAAUUUUGGACAAUGGGCGCAAGCCUGAUCCAGCCAUGCCGCGUGAGUGAAGAAGGCC